CCUACGGGCGGCAGCAGUGGGGGAUAUUGCACAAUGGGGGGAACCCUGAUGCAGCGACGCCGCGUGGGUGAAGGAGUGCUUCGGCAUGUAAAGCUCUAUCGGCAGGGAAGAAGCAAGACGGUACCUGACUAAGAAGCCCCGGCUAACUACGUGCCAGCAGCCGCGGUAAUACGGAGGGGGCGAGCGUUAUCCGGAUUCACUGGGUGUAAAGGGAGUGUAGACGGCCAUGCAAGCCAGGGGUGAAAGCCCGGGGCCCAACCCCGGAACUGCCCUUGGAACUGUGCGGCUAGAGUGCGGUAGGGGCAGGCGGAAUGCCUGGUGUAGCGGUGAAAUGCGUAGAUAUCAGGAAGAACACCGGCGGCGAAGGCAGCCUACUGGACUGCAACUGACGUUGAGGCUCGAAAGCGUGGGGAGCGAACAGGAUUAGAUACCCCAGUAGUC
rnacentral:rRNA from 1 species